rnacentral:rRNA from 1 species
GACGAACGCUGGCGGCGUGCUUAACACAUGCAAGUCGAACGGAAAGGCCCUGCUUUUGUGGGGUGCUCGAGUGGCGAACGGGUGAGUAACACGUGAGUAACCUGCCCUUGACUUUGGGAUAACUUCAGGAAACUGGGGCUAAUACCGGAUAGGAGCUCCUGCUGCAUGGUGGGGGUUGGAAAGUUUCGGCGGUUGGGGAUGGACUCGCGGCUUAUCAGCUUGUUGGUGGGGUAGUGGCUUACCAAGGCUUUGACGGGUAGCCGGCCUGAGAGGGUGACCGGCCACAUUGGGACUGAGAUACGGCCCAGACUCCUACGGGAGGCAGCAGUGGGGAAUAUUGCACAAUGGGCGGACGCCUGAUGCAGCAACGCCGCGUACGGGAUGACGGCCUUCGGGUUGUAAACCGCUUUCGCCUGUGACGAAGCGUGAGUGACGGUAAUGGGUAAAGAAGCACCGGCUAACUACGUG